GUCUCCGACGUCACUGCCACUUUCAUGAGGCUGCUGUUCUUCGUGCCGACCCUCUCUGCACGUUGCUACCAGAGAUGGAAGCCACUGUUGCCGAUGCCAUCAUGUCGCCCGAAGGUGAGCUGGACGCGUACGAGCCGGAGCCUCUCAGGAAGCAGCUGGAGGUACUGCCUUUGCUGGAGUUGGCCGGGGAGGCCGGUAACGGCCCCAACACUGACGGGUCACUUCCUUCCACACCUCUCCCAGCAGAAGAGGAUGAGUUAUACCAGCAGUCGCUGGAGAUCAUCUUUUGGUACCUUCGGGAGCAGGCGACCGGCACCAAGGAGGCGAAGCCAAUGGACAGGGCAGGAGCCGCCAGCAGGAAGGCUCUGGAGACCUUGCGCCGCGUGGGAGACGAAGUGCAGCGCAACCACCAGACGGCCUUCUGAGGGAUGCUUCGCAAGCUGGACAUCAAAACCGCAAACGACGUCAAAUCUUUGUCUGGAGUGAUGGUCCAUGUUUUCAGUUACAGCGUAACAAACUGGGGCAGGAUUGUGACUCUGAUUUCUUUUGGUGCCUUUGUGGCCAAACACCUGAAGAGCAUAAACCAAGAAAGCUGCAUGGAGCCAUUAGCAGAAAAUAUCACAAAUGUCCUUAUAAGGACAAAACGGGACUGGCUAGUGAAACAAAGAGGCUGGGAUGGUUUCGUGGAGUUCUUCCACCUGGAAGACCUGGCAAGCAGCAUCAGAAAUGUGCUGCUGGCUUUUGCAGGUGUGGCUGGAGUAGGAGCUGGUUUGGCCUAUCUAAUAAGAUAG